CCAGGGCAAGAACUUCACUGGCGUCUGCCAGCGUCUGUGUCAGCAUGCCUGUACUAGGUCACAACAAUAGCCCCCACCAGUGUCUCAGUCUCUGGUGAGGUCUCACCUCUCACCGAGAAGCACCCAGAGCCUACCAGGUCAUCAACAAUCAGGAUAAGAGGAUGUUUCAUGGUUUGGCUCUGGGUUCAGCAUCACGUGGUUCUAAUACUGAAAAAUUAAUAGGUGCAUGACUGGAAGGUGUCCUGCAUGCCAAUAGACCUGACCCAAUGUAAAGCAUCAGUAUGACGAUAUAUUGACUUGAGAAGGACAGGAUUGGCAGGUCAAUAUUCACAGCUAUUGGAUGUUGUUAAGGAGCAAGCACUGAGACCCAUCCCUUCUCCUCUUGUGUUCUGUUGGCGAGAAUAGACAUAAUGGCAUCCAACUGCUGAUGUGUGUUGGCGAAUGUAGUUUGAACCUGAAGUGUAAUGGUCACUCCUACUUCCACCCUGAAUCUGGACUUGCCUAUGAAGAGAUCUGGAUAUGUAGGACAGUUUUAGAAGCCACUGGGAGGGGCCACAGGCCUGCUCCACGCACCGUAACCAGCAGGACAGAGUGAGAUGAUUGCUCCUUGCUGUUUGCUAUGCACUCUGUGGAUUCCACGCUGAGAUCACUACAGUUGGAGAAGGAUGGCCUCUAUCAAAGCAAGUCAGAGAAACUCCCAGGAGAGAAGCCAAGGUGUCAUUUCCUGGGACCAAAUGUUUUAUUGAUGGACAAAGAAUUGCACAUAUUUAACAUGGAAAAUUUGAUGAAUUUGGUCAUCAGCAAACAUCCUUGAUACCAUCACCACAAUCAGAUAAUAGACAGAUCCAACACCUCCAAGAGUUUUCUGGUUUUCCUUAAGUUUUUUUGUGUGUGUAUAUGUGGUAAGAACACUUAACGUCAUUCUUAUUAUUAAACAGAAGGUGAGUUAUGGACCAACAGAUGUUACCAAACCAAGCAAGGAAUCGAAAUAGAAAUGUUUACUUUUGCUGCAUGAUAGUAGAAUAAUGUGCUUAUUUUUGUUCAUUCGCUCAUUCAUUUGCUGAGAUAUUUACUGUGUUCCACUUGUGUUGUUUUUAGCACUUAAGAUGCAGUCGUGGAAAAGAGACCAGUUUCUUAUCAAUGAGGUUUACAUUUUAAUGGGGAAAUAGAAGAAAUGCUUUUGUUUUGAAAACCUUCAGCUGCAAUGACUUUUGAAUUAAUUUCUUCAGGCAUUUAAUUAUUCAUUAAGUUACUUUUGAAGCAAUUAUUCAAAAAUCAUGUUCAACAUAGUAUUUACCAUAAUAAAAGUGAUGUUAUUUGGAGAAAUUUUUAGAAAACAAAAUAAAGUUUAAAACCACCUAUAAUUACAUAAUAUGGAAGACUAUGGCAGUCAGUAAUGUGUGUCUAUGUCCUCCAUUUUUCUCUAUAUUUAGAUUUAUGGACCAAUGUAAUUUUCUGAAAACAAAGGAAUUGAUUUCAUAAAUUACUUUCCCUCAUUCUGUUAAAUAUUCUCUAAGAAUAUGACUUCCCCUAUUCAUAAUCUGGAAUAAAUAUGCUGCAAUUUAUUUAAGUAGUAUUCUAUCAUUAGACUUUGAGGGUAUUUUUCUCAAAUUUAUUUAAGUAACACUACGAUAAAUAGCCUGUAUACACAUCUUGGUAUGUGUCUAUGACUAUCUUCUUAGGGUAAAUGUCUAGAAGUGACUUGAUUGUGUGAAAGUCUAUUAAACAUAUACAGAUUUUAUACAUCAUCUCAACUACCCCUCCAAAGAAUGUAAUUUUACCACAUUAUAAUUUAUCAAUGUUUAUUUCCCUGCAUCCUUACUAGUAUUAGAUAUUUUCAGGUUUUCCCUCUAAUCACAGCCCAAUUGUCUACAGAAAAAAAAAUAUGUCAUUGGUUUAACUUUCAAUCCUUUGAUGAUAAGCAAGUUAAGCACUUGUUCACAUUUAUUGUUCACUGUUGUAUUGGUUAAUUGCCUUUUACAUUUCUGCCCAUAUAUCUAUUUUGUGAUUCAACUCGUAUUUUUUCUUUGUGAAAAUCUCUGUAUAUUAAGCAUAAUUAACUAUAAUUUUGUUAUAUAUUUUAAAUUACUUUUCUGGUGUUUCCUUUACCUUUUAUGGUAUUUUGGAGAUUCCAUUUUUACGUUGUUAAACCUAUUAAUGUUUACCUUUAAUUUUCUCUGGCUGCUUGUGUGGUUAAAAUCGUUUUCCACUUUGAUAUCAGAAAUUAUUUUUGUAUCUGAGCUUCAAGUUCUUCUAUUUUUUAUAAAAAGAAAGAAUCGAGUGUGGAUUUUUUUAAAUAGUAGGAGUUUUGUGGUUGAUCAGUUCUCCUGGUGUGUAUGUAUAUGCAUGCAUGUAUUAUGUAUUUUUUUAUUUCUAAAAUUUGUUUUGGAAUAGACCUUCUUCAAUGAUUUAAAAAUUCUACUUUUAUUGCAUACUAGAUUUUUAUGUAAAUUUAGCUCUGGACAGUUCUCUCACGGUUUGUGUAUUGUACAGGAUAAAACUGUUUUAGCUGUUAUAUUUUCAUAAUGUAUUUACAUAUUUGAUAA
rnacentral:lncRNA from 1 species